GACGAACGCUGGCGGCGUGCUUAACACCUGCAAGUCGAACGCAGUGGCGAACGGGUGAGUAACGCGUAAUCAACCUGCCCUUCAGAGGGGGACAACAGUUGGAAACGACUGCUAAUACCGCAUACUGAAGGAGGGGAUUGCGUCUGAUCAGCUAGUUGGAUGGGUAACGGCCCACCAAGGCGAUGCUCAGUAGCCGGUCUAAGAGUAGGAACGGCCACAUUGGGACUGAGACACGGCCCAGACUCCUACGGGAGGCAGCAGUGGGGAAUCUUCAGCAAUGGACGAAAGUCUGACGGAGCAACGCCGCGUGAGGGAUGACGGCCUUCGGGUUGUAAAGCUCUGUUAAUCGGGACGCGGUACCGGAAUAGAAAGCCAAGGCUAACUACGUGCCAGCAGCCGCGGUAAUUC
rnacentral:rRNA from 1 species